GGGCCCACCCCCAAACUCAAUAUAUGCUUAUUUGACUGAUAGUGAACAAGUACUGUGAAGGAAAGAUGAAAAGGAAUAUAGAAGUUAUCUAUUCAGUGAAAAGACCGUGAAAUUGUAAACAUGAUAGAGCAGUUGGAGUUAAGUGACAACGUACCUUUUGUAUAAUGGGUCAGCGAGUUAAUAAAUCGUAGCAAGCUUAAGGUAGUAACUAUAGGCGCAGCGAAAGCGUAUCUUAAUAGGGUGUUUCAAGAGUUACAUUUAUUAGACCCGAAACCAAGCGAUCUAAUUAUGAACACGCAUUUUAUUAUUUUUAUUUUAAUUUGGCGGAACCCGUAACUGUUGCAAAAGUUUGGGAUGAUUUGUGAUUAGGGGUGAAAGGCUAAUCAAGCUUGGUGAUAGCUGUUUUUUACGAAAUCUAUCUAGGUAGAACGGUGGUAUAUUGUUUAUUAUUAUUUGAAAAAGUCUUAAUAAACAUUAUUAAAGCAAUUUAAUAAAAGAAAAUUUAUAGAGGUAGAGCACUGAAUGGUUCAACCUAAGGUUAUUAUUUAAACUUCGAAUACUAUAAAUAAAUUGACCACUAGGCAGACUAUGAGCGCUAAGGUCCAUAGGUCUAAAGGGAAACAGCCCAGAUUGUAAGUUAAUGUUCUUAAAUAAUAGUGUAGUGUCAAAGGCAUGGAGAAAGUGAUGUUAAUUGGAAAGUAGGAUUGGAAGCGACCAUCUUUUAAAGAAAGCGUAAAAGCUCACCAAUUUAAGGCGUUCUCUAGCCAACAAUGUACAGGAACUCAACAUUAUACAGAAACUACAAAAUUAUAACAUUGGUAGUAAAAUGUUCCGUAUAAUUGUGAAGUUAACUCAAGAAGAGAUAAUGGAGUUAUCGGAAUUAAGAAUGCUGAUAUGAGUAAUGUUAAUAAGGUUAAGACCUUAUCACUGAAAAUUAGAAGUUUCCUAAUAAAAAGGUAAGCUGAUUAGGGUUACGCGAUCGCUAAGAUUAAUAUGACAAUAAACUAUCGAUGCGCAUAUAGAUUAAUAAUUCUAACGUUUUUAUUGUAGUUUUAAUUGACAUGUGUAUUUUAAAUAAUUAUAUUAUACUUACAUUAUAGAUUAUUUGAAAUAUAAGUUUUAAAAAUAGAUUAAAACAAAAUAUCUGUAAAAAGAUAUUUUAAAUAAAAAAUCGUACUUAAACCGACACUGGUUAAUUGAUAGAAUAUAUUAAAGUGUAGAAUGAAUGAUUCUGAAGGAACUCGGCAAAAUAACUCCGUAACUGCGGGAGAAGGAGAGCCUUUGUUGUAAAAAAUGAAGGUCACAGUAAAGAAGGGGUGGCGACUGUUUAAUAAAAACACAGGAUUCUGCAAAAUGGCAACAUGAUGUAUAGGGUCUGCGACCUGCCCGGUGCUCCAAGAGGAAGAGGAGAACUGCAAGGUUUGAAUUGAAGUCUGAGUAAACGGCGGCUGUAACUAUGACGGUCCUAAGGUAGCGAAAUUCCUUGUCGAGUAAUUUUCGACGCGCAUGAAUGGUGUGAACGACCUCCCCACUGUCUCCAGAAUCACUUCGAUGAAAUUGAACUUUCCGUGAAGAUGCGGAAUAUUAGCAGCUAGACGGAAAGACCCUAUGCACCUUAACUUCACGCA
rnacentral:rRNA from 1 species